AUGGGAGACCCUACUUGAUCUGCGAGGUGGUUGAGGGACAUCGUGUACUGGCUCUGUAUUAAUGGGUUCGCUCGUUGCUUUUCAGAGACUUUCUCUUCAAGCUCAAUUUUCCUCCCACUGCCUCUAUCAAGGAUAAACUAUUUUCAUGAAGAUAGCAUGGCGUCUCACAAACACUUUGUGAUCCUUUGAGAUGAAAAAAUCGUA
rnacentral:lncRNA from 1 species